rnacentral:rRNA from 1 species
UACGGGGGGAGCAAGCGUUGUUCGGAUUUACUGGGCGUAAAGGGCGCGUAGGCGGUCGUGACAAGUCACUUGUGAAAUCUCCGGGCUUAACUCGGAACGGUCAAGUGAUACUGUCGGACUAGAGUACAGAAGGGGCAACUGGAAUUCUCGGUGUAGCGGUGAAAUGCGUAGAUAUCAGGAGGAACACCGGUGGCGAAGGCGGAUCUCUGGGCCUUACCUGACGCUGAGGCGCGAAAGCUAGGGGAGCGAACAGG